AACGCACGAGACCUGCGGACCUGCGGAAGGAUCAUUAAUGAGAAACUGCCCCUCGCGGGUAGAUCUCCCACCCUUUGUAAACUUACCUUUGUUGCUUUGGCAGGCCCGUCUCCGGACCGCCGGCUUCGGCUGGCCAGUGCCUGCCAGAGGAUUCUAAAACUCUGUCUGUCAGUGUUGUCUGAGUCUAAAUACAAUCGUUAAAACUUUCAACAACGGAUCUCUAGAUCGGAAGAGCACACG
rnacentral:misc_RNA from 1 species